rnacentral:rRNA from 1 species
AGUGAACGCUGGCGGUAGGCCUAACACAUGCAAGUCGAACGGCAGCACAGUAAGAGCUUGCUCUUACGGGUGGCGAGUGGCGGACGGGUGAGGAAUACAUCGGAAUCUACUUUUUCGUGGGGGAUAAUGUAGGGAAACUUACGCUAAUACCGCAUACGACCUACGGGUGAAAGCAGGGGAUCUUCGGACCUUGCGCGAUUGAAUGAGCCGAUGUCGGAUUAGCUAGUUGGCGGGGUAAAGGCCCACCAAGGCGACGAUCCGUAGCUGGUCUGAGAGGAUGAUCAGCCACACUGGAACUGAGCCACGGUCCAGACUCCUACGGGAGGCGACAGUGGGGAAUAUUGGACGAUGGGCGCCAGCCUGAUCCAGCCAUACCGCGUGGGUGAAGAAGGCCUUCGGGUUGUAAAGCCCUUUUGUUGGGAAAGAAAAGCAGCAGGUUAAUACCCCGCUGUUCUGACGGUACCCAAAGAAUAAGCACCGGCUAACUUCGUG